AUAUCUGCAUUAUGUCAUGCAGUAUCCCAUACUUAAUAAAUCAAAAAUUGCACCAACUGGAGAAGAUGAUGAUGAAUCUGGUGUGGAUUCAGAUUAAGCAUGGUGGCUGUUUGGUUUUUAUUUGUUAUAAAGUGACUGUUUCAGUUUAAAGUGUGUUUAUUUUUGU